rnacentral:rRNA from 1 species
GAUGAACGCUAGCGGCAGGCUUAACACAUGCAAGUCGAGGGGUAUUGGUUUUCGGACCAAGAGACCGGCGCACGGGUGCGUAACGCGUAUGCAAUCUACCUUUUGCAGAGGGAUAGCCCCAGAGAAAUUUGGAUUAAUACCUCAUAGUAUAGUACUUUGGCAUCAAGGAACUAUUAAAGUCACAACGGCAAAGAUGAGCAUGCGUCCCAUUAGUUAGUUGGUAAGGUAACGGCUUACCAAGACAAUGAUGGGUAGGGGUCCUGAGAGGGAGAUCCCCCCANACUGGUACUGAGACACGGGACCAGACCUCCUACGGGAGGCAGCAGUGAGGAAUAUUGGACAAUGGGCGCAAGCCUGAUCCAGCCAUGCCGCGUGCAGGAUGACGGUCCUAUGGAUUGUAAACUG